rnacentral:rRNA from 1 species
UACGGAGGGGGCUAGCGUUGUUCGGAAUUACUGGGCGUAAAGCGCGCGUAGGCGGCUUUGUAAGUUAGAGGUGAAAGCCCGGAGCUCAACUCCGGAAUUGCCCUUAAGACUGCAUCGCUAGAAUCAUGGAGAGGUGAGUGGAAUUCCGAGUGUAGAGGUGAAAUUCGUAGAUAUUCGGAAGAACACCAGUGGCGAAGGCGACUCACUGGACAUGUAUUGACGCUGAGGUGCGAAAGCGUGGGGAGCAAACAGG